rnacentral:rRNA from 1 species
ACGCUCGACACCUACGGAGGCAGCAGUGGGGAAUAUUGCACAAUGGGGGAAACCCUGAUGCAGCGACGCCGCGUGAGCGAAGAAGUAUUUCGGUAUGUAAAGCUCUAUCAGCAGGGAAGAAACUGACGGUACCUGACUAAGAAGCACCGGCUAAAUACGUGCCUAGCAGCCGCGGUAAUCUGAGCGGGCUGGCAAGGC